rnacentral:rRNA from 1 species
AUUGAACGCUGGCGGCAGGCCUAACACAUGCAAGUCGAACGAGUGGCGGACUGGUGAGUAAUGUCUGGGAAACUGUCUGAUGGAGGGGUCUAACUGCUGGAAACGGUAGCUACUACCGCAUACCAUCGGAUGUGCCCAGAGGGGAUUAGCUAGUAGGUGGGGUAAAGGCUCACCUAGGCGACGAUCCAUAGCUGGUCUGAGAGGAUGACCGGCCACACGGGAACUGAGACACGGCCCAGACUCCUACGGGAGGCAGCAGUGGGGAAUAUUGCACAAUGGGCGAAAGCCUGAUGCAGCCAUGCCGCGUGGAUGAAGAAGGUCUUCGGGUUGUAAAGUACUUUCAGCGGGGAGGCGUUACCCGCAGAAGAAGCACCGGCUAACUCCGUGCCAGCAGCCGCGGUAAUUC